AGAGUUUGAUCCUGGCUCAGAUUGAACGCUGGCGGCAGGCCUAACACAUGCAAGUCGAGCGUGAAAGGGCUUCGGCCUGAGUAAAGCGGCGGACGGGUGAGUAACGCGUAGGAAUCUACCUGGUAGUGGGGGAUAACGUUCCGAAAGGGGCGCUAAUACCGCAUACGUUCCGAGGAAGAAAGCGGGGGAUCGCAAGACCUCGCGCUAUCAGAUGAGCCUGCGUCCGAUUAGCUAGUUGGUGGGGUAAAGGCCUACCAAGGCGACGAUCGGUAACUGGUCUGAGAGGAUGAUCAGUCACACUGGAACUGAGACACGGUCCAGACUCCUACGGGAGGCAGCAGUGGGGAAUAUUGGACAAUGGGGGCAACCCUGAUCCAGCCAUGCCGCGUGUGUGAAGAAGGCCUUCGGGUUGUAAAGCACUUUAAGCGGGGAGGAAGGCCUGGUGGCUAAUAUCCACCGGGAUUGACGUUACCCGCAGAAUAAGCACCGGCAAACUUCGUGCCAGCAGCCGCGGUAAUACGAAGGGUGCGAGCGUUAAUCGGAAUUACUGGGCGUAAAGCGCGCGUAGGUGGUUUGGUAAGCGAUAUGUGAAAUCCCCGGGCUUAACCUGGGAACUGCAUGUCGAACUGCCUGGCUAGAGUAUAGUAGAGGAGUGUGGAAUUCCCGGUGUAGCGGUGAAAUGCGUAGAUUCGGGAGGAACAUCAGUGGCGACGGCACUCUGGACUGAUACUGACACUGAGCGCGAAAGCGUGGGUAGCGAACAGGAUUAGAUACCCUGGUAGUC
rnacentral:rRNA from 1 species